rnacentral:rRNA from 1 species
AUUGAACGCUGGCGUCAUGCUUUACACAUGCAAGUCGAACGGUAACAGGGAGCUUGCUCCGCUGACGAGUGGCGAACGGGUGAGUAAUGCGUCGGAACGUGCCGAGUAGUGGGGGAUAACGCAUCGAAAGGUGUGCUAAUACCGCAUACGAACUGAGGUUGAAAGUGGGGGACCUUCGGGCCUCACGCUAUUCGAGCGGCCGACGUCUGAUUAGCUAGUUGGUGAGGUAAAGGCUCGCCAAGGCGACGAUCAGUAGCGGGUCUGAGAGGAUGAUCCGCCACACUGGGACUGAGACACGGCCCAGACUCCUACGGGAGGCAGCAGUGGGGAAUUUUGGACAAUGGGCGCAAGCCUGAUCCAGCCAUGCCGCGUGUCUGAAGAAGGCCUUCGGGUUGUAAAGGACUUUUGUCCGGGAGCAAAUGCUGGUGGCUAACAUCCACCGGAGCUGAGAGUACCGGAAGAAUAAGCACCGGCUAACUACGUGCCAGCCGCCGCAGUAAAAC